AGUGAACGCUGGCGGUAGGCCUAACACAUGCAAGUCGAACGGCAGCACAGGAGAGCUUGCUCUCUGGGUGGCGAGUGGCGGACGGGUGAGGAAUACAUCGGAAUCUACUUUUUCGUGGGGGAUAACGUAGGGAAACUUACGCUAAUACCGCAUACGACCUACGGGUGAAAGCAGGGGACCUUCGGGCCUUGCGCGAUUGAAUGAGCCGAUGUCGGGUUAGCUGGUUGGCGGGGUAAAGGCCCACCAAGGCGACGAUCCGUAGCUGGUCUGAGAGGAUGAUCAGCCACACUGGAACUGAGACACGGUCCAGACUCCUACGGGAGGCAGCAGUGGGGAAUAUUGGACAAUGGGCGCAAGCCUGAUCCAGCCAUACCGCGUGGGUGAAGAAGGCCUUCGGGUUGUAAAGCCCUUUUGUUGGGAAAGAAAUCCAGCUGGCUAAUACCCGGUUGGGAUGACGGUACCCAAAGAAUAAGCACCGGCUAACUUCGUGCCAGCAGCCGCAGUAA
rnacentral:rRNA from 1 species